UUCCGCUUCCGUACAGAAGCACCGGAGCAAGCAACAUGGCGAAGACUAGGGAAAAGAGUGGCGGCAGCGGGAAGAAAAGCCUGAAAAGGAAAGCCGCUAUGGAAGAACCUCGGGAGGGUUCUGUCGCCGGAGAUGGGGCGACAGAAGGCGUGGUCCAACCGCCGAAAGCUACUGCCUUACCCCCAGGCUUCAGCAUUUCGGAGAUUAAGAACAAGCAGCGGCGACACUUAAUGUUCACGCGGUGGAAACAGCAGCAGCGGAAGGAGAAGUUGGCUGCUAAGAAAAAACUUAAAAAAGAGAGAGAAGCUCUUGGAGAUAAGGCUCCACCAAAACCUGUACCCAAGACCAUUGACAACCAACGAGUCUAUGAUGAAACCACAGUAGACCCUAAUGAUGAAGAGGUUGCUUAUGAUGAAGCUACAGAUGAAUUUGCUCCUUACUUCAACAGACAAACUUCUCCCAAGAUUCUCAUCACAACAUCAGAUAGACCUCAUGGGAGAACAGUAAGACUCUGUCAGCAGCUCUCAACGGUUAUACCCAACUCACAUGUUUAUUAUAGAAGAGGACUUGCUCUGAAAAAAAUUAUUCCACAGUGCAUCUCAAGAGAUUUCACAGAUCUAAUCGUGAUUAAUGAAGAUCGUAAAAUACCAAAUGGACUUAUUUUGAGUCACUUGCCAGAUGGCCCAACUGCUCAUUUUAAAAUGAGCAGUGUUCGUCUUCGAAAAGAAAUUAAGAGAAGGGGCAAGGACCCCACAGAACAUGUACCUGAAAUAAUCCUGAAUAAUUUUACAACAAGGCUGGGUCAUUCAAUUGGACGUAUGUUUGCUUCUCUCUUUCCCCAUAAUCCUCAAUUUAUUGGAAGACAGGUUGCUACAUUCCACAAUCAGCGGGAUUAUAUUUUCUUCAGAUUUCAUAGAUACAUAUUCAGGAGUGAAAAGAAAGUAGGAAUUCAGGAACUUGGACCACGUUUUACCUUAAAAUUAAGAUCUCUUCAGAAAGGAACGUUUGAUUCUAAAUAUGGCGAGUAUGAAUGGGUCCAUAAGCCCCGGGAAAUGGAUACGAGUCGAAGAAAAUUCCAUUUAUAAAGUACUGGGAAUCAACAGUAUUGGAUUUUGUUGAACAGGCUGUCUUGGACUUGACUGAAAACUUGGGAGUGCCAAACAAAUGCAUGGGAUGAACUUGCAAGUGCUGCAAACACUAUUCCUACUAUGUGAAUUGUUUUACUUAUGGAAACUUACCUCUGAAAAAUUCAUUUGACUACAAAAAGGAACAGACUUUCUGCGGUCUGAAGGGAUUUGUACUUGAGGAUACUCCAGUCAGCAGAGGAUCAUGCUGAGCAUUCUGCAGGCAGAACUGUUUCAAGUCUGCAGCUGCUUGGGAAACCUACACAUAAGGAAAAGGGGGAAAUACCAGUUGGUAAAGGUUUGUAAUCGUUUUCUCAAAUCUCUGUAAAUACUUGAAAUAAACAGGACUUCUCUUGCCUCAAGAGUAUAUUGUAUACUAA